ACGCAAUUGAAAGAGGGGCUAGGGUUACCUCAAUGCGCCGUUUCAACUUCUACAUCAACCUAUCUCUUUCUCACUCUCGACUCCCUCUCUCGAAAGAACGGCGCCGGACCACCCUAUCGUCUCCGAUUGCGACCUAGCGCCGCCGUGAACCAAACAUCCCAGCAAAAUCCCAACCUGGAGGGAAGCACGCAGGCGAAGCAAAUGAGAUACCCGAGAAGAAACUCCGAAGAAUGUGCGAAACGAAUGCUGAGUCCUUAAGAUAGAUUUCAAUUUGAAGCCGAUACGGAAGCGGCGACGACAAAUUCCUCAGGUUGCUGAAGAUUCAAUGAAGUUGCUCGUGGCUUUGAAGAACCGAUGCGAAGGUGAUGAUUGAAGUGAUGUGCGAUGAUGAACAAUGCGAUGAUGAUGAUGAUGAAGCGUUAAAUGAUAGUUGUCGUUGAAGAUUAUGGUAGAUUGAAUUGAGGGAGAUACUGGCAAGUUCUGCAGAAUUGUGGUUAUCAAUGGAGAUUGAAGGUGGUGAAGUUCUUUUCUGUUGGUGAGUGAAGAAGAAGAUUGAAGGUUCUAUUUUUUUGAAGAUUGAAGCAUGGAAUUGGGAAUGGGAGCAUGGAGUGUGAAGUGGUGAAGAAGAUGAGAAAUGAAGGUGAAGAAAAAUGGAGGAGCAGUGAAGAAUGGCUGAGAUGAGAAAAGAUCGAGAGCCUGAAGUUGCAGAGGUGAAGAAGUGUGGAUUUGUGGAGAGUGAAGGUUAUGCCAAUGGAGGAGUGAAUUAUGGAGAAUGAAUGGAGAAGAGAGAUGAGGAAUGAGAAGUGAUGAAGAAAGUGAAGAAUGGUGGUUGAAGAGUGUGAAGAGAUGAAGAUGAAGAUGGUGUGAAAAAUGGUGGAGAGUGAGAAAAAAUGGAGAAAAACUUUGAAUAGAAGGGAGGUCUGAAUUUAUAGAAGUGGAGGUUGAUGGAUUCAGUUAGAGGGAAGAGGUGUGAGCCAUUGGAUUUUGAUUUUCUGUUAUGAAUUGAAGGGUUAAGAUCUGUCAGUUAUGAUUCUGUUUUAACUGUUAUGCUGAAGGUUAGUUAGUUUGUUACAAACUGUUAGGGAAUCAGUUAGUGGUUAUUGGUAGUUACAAGUUUGGUUAGGAGGUUAUGAAUCUGUUAUUGUUGUUACACAGGCUGUUAGCUUUUAGUUGGUUAAAUCAGUUAGGAAAGUAGUAACUGAUUUUUGGGAAAUUCGUUAGGGUUAUUGAUAUGGUUAAAAAGAGGUUAGUUCUGUUAGAGAAAGAAACAAAUGAGGCUGACUGAGAGUUAAUUGGAUAGAGUUUGGAAGGUUAAAGUUAAUUUGAAAGCUGUUAGUUAAUUGGUUAAAGGGUUCUGUUAUGGUUCGGUUAGUUUAGAAAUUGUUUUGUACUAGGUUUAUUGUGGAACUGUAUUUUCUGUUAUGUAUUGUGAUUUUGAUAUCGGUUUGAAUGUAUGCAGGUGAGUGUGUGGAUUUGUUGAUGUCAAUUCUGUUUCUUUGAAUCUCUGCUGCCUGAGGUUGUUUGAAAUCCUUUAAGAAUACGUACUGUAAUGAGCUGUUAGAAAUAAUACUCGUGUUGAACUGCCCAAACUUCUUUGAACAAAUUUCCCUGCUUGCUUUUAGUACUGAUUGUUUGAUAACUUGUGUAUAGGUGAAACUCUGGUUUUGGUAUGUGGAUUCAAGUAAUAAUUACUACUGUUUUUUUUGGUUCAUUCCUCAGGAGCUUUGGAAGAUCUAUCACCUUCCUUAUUAAAUAACUGGGAAGUACCAGAUGACAUGGAGGGAUAGGCCUGGAAGCUUGCAUCUCGACGAACCAUUCGAAGAUUAUAUGAGACAGUUGAGCUUCCAACAUGGACUGGAUGCUGAAGGAAAGAGCCAUGCGUUUGCUGGUUCAUUGCAAUUGAAUUUACUGGCUGAAUUGGGGAGAAACGGAACCUUAGGAUAGUCUAAGCACAUCAAAAAUCAAUAACAGUGUCAAAACCUAUGUUGUGAUUUCAAUUCUGAUUUUUGUAAUGGGCUUUUUGCUGUUUGUAACUAUUUGUAAGCAACUUGACCACCAAUGUAAUUUGCAGGUUCCUUUGACUUUCCUUAUUUCAAACCGAAUUGAAUUCU